rnacentral:rRNA from 1 species
UCGAGGAUCUUUAGCAAUGGGCGAAAGCCUGACUAUGCGACGCCGCGUGAGGGAUGAAGGUUUUCGGAUCGUAAUCCUCUUUCGAUGGGAAAGAAACGCCCGGCGGAAACGUCGGGACUGACGGUACCCAGAGAAGAAGCCACGGCCAACUCCGUGCCAGCAGCCGCGGUAAUACGGAGGUGGCGAGCGUUACUCGGAUUCAUUGGGUGUAAAGGACAGGUAGGUGUCCCGACAAGUUAGAAGUGAAAUCCUGCGGCUCAACCGCAGAACUGCUUCUAAAACUGUCGGGAUUGAGGCUGGAAGAGGAGAGCGGAAUUCCCGGUGUAAGGGUGAAAUCUGUAGAUAUCGGGAGGAACGCCAGUGGCGAAAGCGGCUCUCUGGUCUAGCCCUGACGCUGAGC